GUUUUUCCAGGACUUUCCCCUUGCUUCCUCCUGUCUUCUCUCCUCCUUCUCCCCCAAUCAUGGAGAAUUUCCAAUCUGAAUUGGAGCUCUGCAGCUGCCUACACUGUUGAAAACUGGCUGCACCAAACCUCCAGAUUAGAGCUGAGUGAAUAGGCUCCCCUCUCCAAAGCCUCUGUGUCUGAAAAACACCCAGGAUUUAUAAAACAAAAUAACAAAAGGUCCUGAGAACAAUUGUGCAGAGAUGCACUGGAGGCAUUCACUAGCCCCGGAGGAGUAACAAAUGUCUGC
ensembl:lncRNA